rnacentral:rRNA from 1 species
UUGAACAUUACUUAGUGGCGAACGGGUGAGUAACGCGUAGACAACCUGCCUCAAAGAUGGGGACAACACCGCGAAAGUGGUGCUAAUACCGAAUGUUGCAUUGGAUUCGCAUGAAUCUGAUACUAAAGGUGGCCUCUUUAAAUGCUACCGCUUUGAGAUGGGUCUGCGUCUGAUUAGCUAGUUGGUGAGGUAACAGCUCACCAAGGCGAUGAUCAGUAGCCGGUCUGAGAGGAUGAACGGCCACACUGGGACUGAGACACGGCCCAGACUCCUACGGGAGGCAGCAGUGGGGAAUCUUCCGCAAUGGACGAAAGUCUGACGGAGCAACGCCGCGUGAGUGAAGAAGGUUUUCGGAUCGUAAAGCUCUGUCUUUGAGGACGAAUGUGCUUAAUGUGAAUAAUGUUAAGUAAUGACGGUACUCGAGGAGGAAGCCACGGCUAACUACGUGCCAGCAGCCGCGGUAAUACGUAGGUGGCAAGCGUUGUCCGGAAUUAUUGGGCGUAAAGCGCGCGCAGGCGGGAUAUUAAGUCUGUCUUAAAAGUUCGGGGCUCAACCCCGUGAUGGGAUGGAAA